rnacentral:ribozyme from 14 species
UUUUAUUUAUUUAUUUUUAUUUAUUAUUAUUAUUAUUAUUAUUUUGGCGCCGUCGACAGCACCAACGAUGUCAUCAAAACAGGAAAAAAGAGGUAAGAAAGCAGUCAUUU